UACGGGGGGGGCAAGCGUUGUUCGGAAUUACUGGGCGUAAAGGGCUCGUAGGUGGCCAACUAAGUCAGACGUGAAAUCCCUCGGCUUAACCGGGGAACUGCGUCUGAUACUGGAUGGCUAGAGAUUGGGAGAGGGAUGCGGAAUUCCAGGUGUAGCGGUGAAAUGCGUAGAUAUCAAGAGGAACACCUGAGGUGAAGACGGGUUGCUGGGCCGACACUGACGCUGAGUGCGCGAAAGCCAGGGGAGCAAACGGG
rnacentral:rRNA from 1 species